GGAACACCUGGCGGCGUGCUAAUACAUGCAGUCGUGCGGACUUUUAAAAGCUUGCUUUUAAAAGGUUAGCGGCGGACGGGUGAGUAACACGUGGGCAACCUGCCUGUAAGAUCGGGAUAACGCCGGGAAACCGGGGCUAAUACCGGAUAGUUUUUUCCUCCGCAUGGAGGAAAAAGGAAAGACGGCUUCGCUGUCACUUACAGAUGGGCCCGCGGCGCAUUAGCUAGUUGGUGGGGUAACGGCUCACCAAGGCAACGAUGCGUAGCCGACCUGAGAGGGUGAUCGGCCACAUUGGGACUGAGACACGGCCCAAACUCCAUACGGGAGGCAGCAGUAGGGAAUCUUCCGCAAUGGACGAAAGUCUGACGGAGCAACGCCGCGUGAGUGAAGAAGGCCUUCGGGUCGUAAAACUCUGUUGCCGGGGAAGAACAAGUGCCGUUCGAACAGGGGCGGCGCCUUGACGGUACCCGGCCAGAAAGCCACGGCUAACUACGUGCCAGCAGCCGCGGUAAUACGUAGGUGGCAAGCGUUGUCCGGAAUUAUUGGGCGUAAAGCGCGCGCAGGCGGCUUCUUAAGUCUGAUGUGAAAUCUUGCGGCUCAACCGCAAGCGGUCAUUGGAAACUGGGAGGCUUGAGUGCAGAAGAGGAAG
rnacentral:rRNA from 2 species